rnacentral:rRNA from 1 species
CCCUUGUAUUAAUUUUUAAUAAGGUUUAAUAAAAAUUUUUGAAAAUUAAAAAUUUUGGCAGUUAAUAAUAAAUUAGAGGAGCUUGUUAGGGUGAGAAUUUACUCUUUAUAUUUUAAUAUAAAAUUUGUUUAUUCAUUUCUGUUAUUAAAAUAGUAUUUUUACAAGAUUAUUAUAUCUGACAUUUCAGGUCAAGAUGUAGUAUUUUAUAUUUAUAAUUAGCUACAAUUAUUUAAUAUUGGUUAAUGGAUUAGUAUAAAAUCUUUAUAAAUUGAAUUUAGUUGUAAUUAUAUUUAGGAUAAUACUAUGAUUUAAAAUUAUUAAUGU